AGAGUUUGAUCCUGGCUCAGGAUGAACGCUGGCGGCGUGCCUAACACAUGCAAGUCGAGCGAAGCAUUUUAAAGGAAGUUUUCGGAUGGAAUUUGAAAUGACUGAGCGGCGGACGGGUGAGUAACGCGUGGGUAACCUGCCUCAUACAGGGGGAUAACAGUUAGAAAUGACUGCUAAUACCGCAUAAGCACACAGUACCGCAUGGUACAGUGUGAAAAACUCCGGUGGUAUGAGAUGGACCCGCGUCUGAUUAGCUGGUUGGCGGGGUAACGGCCCACCAAGGCGACGAUCAGUAGCCGACCUGAGAGGGUGACCGGCCACAUUGGGACUGAGACACGGCCCAAACUCCUACGGGAGGCAGCAGUGGGGAAUAUUGCACAAUGGGGGAAACCCUGAUGCAGCAACGCCGCGUGAGUGAAGAAGUAUUUCGGUAUGUAAAGCUCUAUCAGCAGGGAAGAAAGUGACGGUACCUGACUAAGAAGCCCCGGCUAACUACGUGCCAGCAGCCGCGGUAAUACGUAGGGGGCAAGCGUUAUCCGGAUUUACUGGGUGUAAAGGGAGCGUAGACGGCACAGCAAGUCUGAAGUGAAAUCUCCGGGCUCAACCCGGGAACUGCUUUGGAAACUGUUGGGCUAGAGUGCUGGAGAGGCAAGCGGAAUUCCUAGUGUAGCGGUGAAAUGCGUAGAUAUUAGGAGGAACACCAGUGGCGAAGGCGGCUUGCUGGACAGUAACUGACGUUGAGGCUCGAAAGCGUGGGGAGCAAACAGGAUUAGAUACCCUGGUAGUCCACGCCGUAAACG
rnacentral:rRNA from 1 species